rnacentral:rRNA from 1 species
CCUACGGGCGGCUGCAGUGGGGAAUAUUGGACAAUGGGGGGAACCCUGAUCCAGCCAUGCCGCGUGUGUGAAGAAGGCCCUCGGGUUGUAAAGCACUUUCAGUGAGGAAGAACGCCUGGUGGUUAAUACCCAUCAGGAAAGACAUCACUCACAGAAGAAGCACCGGCUAACUCCGUGCCAGCAGCCGCGGUAAUACGGAGGGUGCGAGCGUUAAUCGGAAUUACUGGGCGUAAAGCGCGCGUAGGUGGCUUGAUAAGCCGGUUGUGAAAGCCCCGGGCUCAACCUGGGAACGGCAUCCGGAACUGUCAAGCUAGAGCGCAGGAGAGGAAGGUAGAAUUCCCGGUGUAGCGGUGAAAUGCGUAGAGAUCGGGAGGAAUACCAGUGGCGAAGGCGGCCUUCUGGACUGACACUGACACUGGGGUGCGAAAGCGUGGGUAGCAAACAGGAUUAGAUACCCGAGUAGUC